rnacentral:tRNA from 2 species
GCCGGAGUAGCUCAGCCAGGCAGAGCAGCUCACUCGUAAUGAGCAGGCCAGGGGUUCAAAUCCCCUCUCCGGCU